rnacentral:rRNA from 1 species
GACGAACGCUGGCGGCGUGCUUAACACAUGCAAGUCGAACGGAAAGGCCCUGCUUUUGUUGGGUGCUCGAGAGGCGAACGGGUGAGUAACACGUGAGUAACCUGCCCUUGACUUUGGGAUAACAUCAGGAAACUGGGGCUAAUACCGGAUAGGAUCUCCUGCUGCAUGGUGGUGGUUGGAAAGAUUCGGCUGUUGUGGAUGGACUCGCGGCUUAUCGGCUUGUUUGUGGGGUAGUUGCUUACCAAGUCUUUGACGGGUAGGCGGCAUGGGAGGGUGAACGGGCACAUGGGGACUGAGGUACGGCCCAGACUGCUAAGGGAGGCAGCAGGCGGGAACAUUGCGCAAUGGGGGGAAGUCUGAUGCAGCAACGUCGCGUGCGGGAUGAUGGGUUUCGAGUUGUAAACAGAUGUCGCAUGUGAUGAAGCGUGAGUGACGGUAAUGGGUAAGGAAGCAACGGCUAACUACGUG